GCCCAGAUAGCUCAGUUGGUAGAGCACACCCUUGGUAAGGGUGAGGUCGGCAGUUCAAAUCUGCUUCUGGGCU
rfam:Thiolapillus brandeum DNA, complete genome.